UAUAAUCUUAAAACCUAAAAAUUUUGGCGGUUCUUUAGUCUAUUCAGAGGAACCUGUUUCGUAAUCGAUAUUCCACGUUAAACCUAGCUUAAUAUUGUCUAGCUUAUAUACCGCCGUUAUUGAAUAUUUUUUUAAAAUAAUAAUUUUCAGAAUUUAAAUUGUAAAGUAUAUCAGGUCAAGGUGUAGCUUAUGAUUAAGUGUAUAAUGGGUUACAUUAAUAUUAUUUAUACGGAUAAAGAAAUGAAAUUUUCCUUUCAAGGAGGAUUUGAUAGUAAACUUAAUUGAGUAACUUAAGUUGACUUUAGCUCUAAAGCGUGCACAUAUCGCCCGUCACUCUUAUUAAUAAAAUAAGAUAAGUCGUAACAUAGUAGAUGUACUGGAAGGUGUAUCUAGAAUAUCAAUUUAAAGCUUUUGAGUAAAGUAUUUCAUUUACAUUGAAAUGAUUGUUGUGCAAUUCAAUAUAAAUUGAUACUUGCCAAUUAUUAAUUUUUUUU
rnacentral:rRNA from 1 species